rnacentral:rRNA from 1 species
UACGUAGGGGGCAAGCGUUGUCCGGAAUCAUUGGGCGUAAAGAGCGCGUAGGCGGUCCGGUAAGUCCGCUCUGAAAGUCCGGGGCUCAACCCCGGGAGGCGGGCGGAUACUGUCGGGCUAGAGUCCGGAAGAGGCGAGUGGAAUUCCUGGUGUAGCGGUGAAAUGCGCAGAUAUCAGGAGGAACACCAAUGGCGAAGGCAGCUCGCUGGGACGGCACUGACGCUGAGGCGCGAAAGCGUGGGGAGCAAACAGG